rnacentral:rRNA from 1 species
UACGUAGGGGGCAAGCGUUGUCCGGAUUUAUUGGGCGUAAAGAGCGUGUAGGCGGCUAGAUAGGUCCGUUGUGAAAACUCGAGGCUCAACCUCGAGACGUCGAUGGAAACCAUCUGGCUAGAGUCCGGAAGAGGAGAGUGGAAUUCCUGGUGUAGCGGUGAAAUGCGCAGAUAUCAGGAAGAACACCCGUGGCGAAGGCGGCAUCCUGGACCGAGAUUGACGCUGAGGAGCGAAAGCUAGGGGAGCAAACGGG